rnacentral:rRNA from 1 species
AUUGAACGCUGGCGGCAUGCCUUACACAUGCAAGUCGAACGGCAGCACGGGAGCAAUCCUGGUGGCGAGUGGCGAACGGGUGAGUAAUAUAUCGGAACGUGCCCAGUCGUGGGGAUAACGUAGCGAAAGCAACGCUAAUACCGCAUACGAUCUACGGAUGAAAGCGGGGGAUCGCAAGACCUCGCGCGAUUGGAGCGGCCGAUAUCAGAUUAGGUAGUUGGUGAGGUAAAGGCUCACCAAGCCGACGAUCUGUAGCUGGUCUGAGAGGACGACCAGCCACACUGGGACUGAGACACGGCCCAGAC